GAGUAAUAUAUCGGAACGUACCCGAGAGUGGGGGACAACCAGUCGAAAGAUUGGCUAAUACCGCAUACGACCUACGGAUGAAAGUGGGGGACCUUCGGGCCUCACGCUCCUGGAGCGGCCGAUAGCUGAUUAGCUAGUUGGUGGGGUAAAUGCCUACCAAGGCGAUGAUCAGUAGCUGGUCUGAGAGGACGAUCAGCCACACUGGGACUGAGACACGGCCCAGACUCCUACGGGAGGCAGCAGUGGGGAAUUUUGGACAAUGGGGGCAACCCUGAUCCAGCAAUGCCGCGUGAGUGAAGAAGGCCUUCGGGUUGUAAAGCUCUUUUGUCAGGGAAGAAAAGGGCUGGGUUAAUACCCUGGUUUCAUGACGGUACCUGAAGAAUAAGCACCGGCUAACUACGUGCCAGCAGCCGCGGUAAUACGUAGGGUGCGAGCGUUAAUCGGAAUUACUGGGCGUAAAGCGUGCGCAGGCGGUUGUGUAAGACAGAUGUGAAAUGCCCGGGCUUAACCUGGGAAUUGCAUUUGUGACUGCACGGCUAGAGUGUGUCAGAGGGGGGUAGAAUUCCACGUGUAGCAGUGAAAUGCGUAGAUAUGUGGAGGAAUACCGAUGGCGAAGGCAGCCCCCUGGGAUAACACUGACGCUCAUGCACGAAAGCGUGGGGAGCAAAC
rnacentral:rRNA from 1 species